CCGUGCUAGACGGGGAGGUAGCGGUGCCCUAUAACCUGCAAUCCGCUAUAGCAGGGUUGAAGUCCUACUCUAGGCUUUUCUGCUGUGAGGUCUGCCCUAGAUAAGUGGUGUUGACAGUCAGGUCCUGCGCAACGGAAACUCAUGAACCUCGUCAGGUCCGGAAGGAAGCAGCGAUAAGUGAGAAUUUCCGUGUGCCGUAGGGAAACCUUACUCGAGCUAACUGUCUAGGUACCGCUCGGAGUGGAAUUGUCGAAAGUAGGUGCACGG
rnacentral:SRP_RNA from 1 species